rnacentral:rRNA from 1 species
AGUGAACGCUGGCGGUAGGCCUAACACAUGCAAGUCGAACGGCAGCACAGAAAGAGCUUGCUCUUACGGGUGGCGAGUGGCGGACGGGUGAGGAAUACAUCGGAAUCUACUUUUUCGUGGGGGAUAACGUAGGGAAACUUACGCUAAUACCGCAUACGACCUACGGGUGAAAGCAGGGGAUCUUCGGACCUUGCGCGAUUGAAUGAGCCGAUGUCGGAUUAGCUAGUUGGCGGGGUAAAGGCCCACCAAGGCGACGAUCCGUAGCUGGUCUGAGAGGAUGAUCAGCCACACUGGAACUGAGACACGGUCCAGACUCCUACGGGAGGCAGCAGUGGGGAAUAUUGGACAAAGGGCGCAAGCCUGAUCCAGCCAUACCGCGUGGGUGAAGAAGGCCUUCGGGUUGUAAAGCCCUUUUGUUGGGAAAGAAAAGCAGCAGGUUAAUACCCCGCUGUUCUGACGGUACCCAAAGAGUAAGCACCGGCUAACUUCGUG